GGUUGAAUGGUCUAGUGGUUAUGAUUUCUGUCUCACAUUGAUGGUCACAGAAGGUCUCCAGUUCGAUCCUGGAUUCAACCA